UCCUGCUUGCUGCAGAAGAUGCUGCCAGAUCUGGGUAUUGUCUUAAAGGACGAAGGCACAAACACAAGCACCUUGCUUCCUGAGGAUGCCCUUUGCUGUGGGCCGCACUGUGCUACAGCUUUGGAUGCAAACUCGGCCUCGACUCCCAGCCAGGGCGGGUGUCCUCAUUCCAAGGCCCGCUCACCCUCUGGGCCAGGCAAGCUGCAUAAUGAGAGAAGGUGAUUUCCAUACGGGGGCCUUCCGGUAGUAAAAAUGCAUUUAGGAGAAAAUAAAUUUGAAUUAAACUUACAAAACCCAGAACAUGUAAAUCAAGAAAGCGUUCCAAAUGAAACCACAGCUUCGUUUGGAAAUCAUCUCUUAACACUGCAGUUCUAGACCUGGGUUCAUUUCUGCACUGAACCCAUCAGUAGGUGCUUAUUUUCAGAAGCUCUGGUUCUAUUAAAGGGUCCUCAAAACUGUCAGAUUUUGAAAUUAGUAAAAUUAAUUUCAGUUUGGUGUUACUGGUUCAAAAAUUAAUCUUCCCCCAAUUUGGUUCUAUUCAAUCAUUGACUUAAAUGUGAGAAAAUCUCACUUCUCUGGAUGUUUUUGGAGGAGGGGAAAGGAAGGAAGUCCUGACUGAUUAAAAAAUGUCAAAUUUCUGAUUUUUGAAGAAAGGCAGUUUUAGUACUUGCACUGAACAUAUUACAGGCUGACUUAAAUGAACACUAAUAAGUAAAAUUCAGCUAGUCACUGAAAAAUUACUAGCCAUAAUAGGGCUUUAUUACAUAAUAAUAAGUGACAUUAUAUCACUGAGUCUUAAUUUUUAAAAUCAAUGGGAAACACAGUUUGUGUCAGAUUUCCUGGGGUACAGUCUGAAUGUACGCUGCCUGGCAUUAAACUGAGCAUUGUCAACAGUCAAUGAGAGGAUCCAGUGGACACAAGAUGCAGGGGGAUGGGGGCAGCAAGGAGGUCUUCCCAGAGAGGAACACAUGCAUUUCCAAGUGUGGAAUCUCAGUUUACACACUGUAACAGGGAAAAGCAGCAGAGAGAGUGAUGGGAUUUAAACUUCCCGAGGGCGUGGUGGGUAUGUUCUGGGCCAAGGUGGAGGCCAGUGUGUUGCAUUCUCUUGGUUCUGCCAGCUUCCACUCCUGAUCUCAAAAGCACAGCACAGCACCUGGAAGGAGGCAGGUGUUCAGGGCCAGCCUGUACCUCGUGGAAAGCCAGGCUCUGGAGGUAGGCAUUGCAUUUACUUUGCUGGGCAGCUCCAGCCCACCUUUUCUGAGCAAAAGGCAGGUGGCUAACAGGUUCUGUCCUCCUCAAAAUCUGAGAAGCCCUAGAGGCUUCGCUUUCCCCAGCCCCCCUGGCUCCUAACAACUCUGGACCCUUGGUCUGGGGCAGUUCUGAAGAGCCCAGGAGCAGUUUUUCAGGAGGUCGUGUGGCUGCACACACCCAUGACCAUAAGAAGGCUAAACCCUGCUGCUCUGGUCGCUGCUUCCCUGGGACUGCCUGCAGACACCCAGUGACCUCUUGCUCCUCAUGGCCCUCACAGCAGAGUAAAGAUGCAUAAAGCAACCGUCUUUUACGCUUCAGUGUAAAUGUGUUCAUGUGCUGGCUGGAACCACUGAAGGCCUUCAGGGAGUCUGCAACUGCAAUUCUACAUUAUCCAUUUGCAAAAAUACUACUUUCCAUUAUGAUUUAUGGCAACCAUAUAGUGUGUCAGCUGUGUUAUGCACUAAACAGGCCAGCCUGGAAAACUAAAUGCCAUUUGCAGUUUUCUAAGUUUGAAACACCAACUUAAUAAUAAAUAAAAGAGCAGUUCAAAAGUUGGGAAUCAUCUAUAAAUUACUUCUGUGUGAAAAACUCAAAAUAUCUUAUCAGGCCUCAUUUGGGCUUUCACAACACCUAAGCUGGGAAAUUCUGACUUGACUUUAUCACAAUUUAUCACCUGAGCGUAGCAGAGAAUCCUGGAUUCAUUACUUCCCACUAAGAGGUGGUUAACUGUUAGACUAAGCUGGCAAAUCACAAGUAUCCAGGCCAGACAGACAAGAGGAGCUUCCUAAACCAACAGAAGGACCCCAGACUCCUUGCCCCAGGUACACUGCCCUAAACCAGCCUGCCCCAUCCACUUUAAGUACAAAAGGAAGUCUCAAGACAGUUCUCAUCAGUUACAUCAUAAUCUCUAAAGCAGAAGUUAUUGGAAGAGAGGCUGAAGGAUCCCAAUAAGCUCCACAUCCCUGAAGUAAGCCCUGCUCCACUAAGAUCUACUUAGCAGGGAUGGUACACUUGGUGCACAGGCUGGGGACCAUCUGAUCUGAACACUCCUCUGCCAGCGAUGCUCCAGGAGCUCGGACCACGUGGCCUCAGGAGUCUUUUUCUCCCAAAGGCUGGGAUCUCCAGGGAUGCUGACAUAAAAUGAAGGAGUGGACUAAGUGGUCACUGUGGUCCCUUUCCAGAUCUGACAUACGAAUUCUGAGUUUGGGGCUGAGGGGAAGCCCCUUCCCGGUUUCGACAUUCCCUAUCCUAAGCACUGUCGAAUUCCAGGUGCAGAGCGAGAGCUAGAGUAAUAUAAUCUUGCGACUCCCUGAAAAAUCAGUUCUAAAAUUAUUUCCCUAUUCUGUUUAGGAUGCUCAUCCAUCUGUCCUCCUUGCCUUCAUCCCUACCCCUGCUUCCUACAGAAGUGGUUUCCUAACCCCCAUUCAGUUUGUCCAACAUCAGAAGACAUUUUGAUGAUGGCAUUUUUUCUUGUGACAGCAAUGUUUUCCAAAGGAACUUGUCACUGAAAUAAGGGAAACAACAAAUCAUAGAUCUUUAGAGCUGGAAACCUACUUAAGUGCAUCCAAUUCAAUCCUGCCACUUUACUACAGGAGAAACUGAGGCCCAGAGAUUUGCCCAGUGGUAGUAGCAGUAGCACAGCCAUGAGCCCCAGUGAGUUCCUCCCUGCCUGUCCUGUGUUCUGUGGGAAAACUCCAUUUCCUGCGGAAGAAUCCCUCCUUCCACAGGGAGGGGCGUGGUGAGGUCCUCCAGCUGUGAUCAGGACAUGCCUUAACCUCCCUGAGGCUUUGGGACACUAAAACCCACUCCUCAUGACUUACCGCCUGGACCAACUGACAAUGUGUGCAGGCACUUAGCAAGGUGCCAGGCACGGCAUGGGUGACUGUCACCAUCAUCACUGCUGCUAUCGGUGAUUUAAAUACACACACACACACAUCUCUUCUUUCAUUCAGGGAAGUGUAUUUGAUUCAUUUUCAAGACAACAUUAGAAUACAUUCCCUAUUUUAGUAGCUUGAAACUUUCUACCAGAUCCCAUCAUAGCCAAAAAGACAUCCUAGUCAGUGUUUGCUCUUGGGAAUAAAGUGUCCCCAAUGUCCUCAGAAGACCUUAGAUCAGAAAACAUUCCUAUUUUCAACAGUGAUGAAAUUUUCAGAUAUUCCAAUACGGAUGCAGGGUAAGUCCUGGGGAACACUGUGCUCCUCUGAGGCCAGAAACCCAGUGACUCCUCCCCUCAGGUGCUCCACGGCAGGGUCAGGACUUUGGGGAGAAACGUUCCUGCAUGGGAAGAUGGAUCGAGCUGCUGGAACAUAAGUGAUAACAAGGAAAGCAGCUCAGAUAAGGCCCAAAACUUCUCCAGUCACUGAAAUACCAGGCUCACAGUGGAGAGGGUAUGUAAACAAGAAUGUCACAGAGCAGGAAGGGGGAAGGAAGGAAGAUAGGCAAGGAGACCCAAGAGCAAAGUCAUCAAUGAAAAACAUUUGGCAGAAAAUAUCCAAGAGAAAGAACAGUACAUGAACAGAAAGGGAGAAACAAAGCUCACCAGCAGCACAAGGUCAACCAAAAGGAAAGUCACAGCCAGAGAACGUGACUCCCGGUGAGCCUGGAGCCAGCGUGACUGCAGAGGGCCAGUCCCCAGGUGAUGCCGGUACGCUGGAGAAGGCCUGGGAAGAUGUGCGGAGACAGACACCUGGGACACCUAAGGACCAAGCCCAGAGCCACGCUGCUGGUGAGUGUGGGCCGGCGCUUCAGUCUGUCUCUAUCUGAAGACACAUCCAGGCCUUUUCCUCUUCCUUGCUUGGGUUGCUGCUCUUCUCAUGCCCCUGCUCUCCUGGACCCCACAUCCAGCACCCCACACCCCACAUCUCCCUGGCAAAAUCCCCUCUGACAGAGCCUCUCCUGACGCCCCAGGGUGAACGGGCUGCUCCGUGGAGUGGGGACAUGGCUGACGUGCACCACACCUGCUCUUCCUCCUGGGCACGGCACUGGACCACACUUCCCAGUAUCCCUGGACAAGGCAGGGCCACAGGCUGAGUCCCAGCCAAUGGGACUUGCAGGAAAUGACUGGCACCCUUUCUAGGCCUAGACCCUAAAACAUGGGUGCGACUUGGGCCCUUAUCUGUCAGCCAGACUCAGGGGUUUAAAAGGGGGCGGGUUCCAAGGCCUGAGAGGAUGGCACAGCCUGUCGGCAGAAGUAUUCUGAGACCCUGAAUAACCCUUCUUGCCACCCCACCAAUCCAAGCUGGGCUGUGAUGUGAACAAGAAACUAACCUUUACUCUGUGAAGCCACCAGCUGCUGGGGGUGACUUGCUACAGCAGACAGGCUACUCAGAGCACUGUGCUCCUCUCUCUACAGCCUCCUCGCCUGCCGGCUGUAUUUCCAUUUUCCACAAACACACCUGUUUUCCCACUGGAUUGACCUCCUUGAGGAAAGGAACUGUAUUAUACUCAUUUCUACGUCCUUUGCACCUAGAAUGCACAGCUUAUGUCUUCAUUGAGUGCGUAAUGAAUAAAUAAGUGAAUGGCUGGCAGGGCCUAGUGGAACCCAACACGUCUACGAUACCCUGAAAAAAUUAAAACAAACAAACAACAAAAAACAGAAAACCAGACCCAAUGCUAGAUAAACGGCUGAUGGAGGGAAUGGGGCACUGCGGGGCGGGGAUGAGCAAAGCCUUCCCUGCUGUGCAGCCACACCUUGAAUGACAAAAACCUUACCUGGGAGAACGCUGGCUGGCAAGGAAUUUUUCACUGUGCUCCAUCCUACAGUAUUUUGAAAUCUUUUGUUUAAAUCGAUUGGCAAUGUUUAAACACGCCAUUUCACACAGAAGUACAACAUUGCUAAUUAGGCAAUAAGGAGAGAGACAGUGUCAUUUCCUGGUAACGCAUCAUGCACAAAAAGCCCUCCCUCCUUCCAAUAAAUUUUAAAGGAUUUCACAUCAUCUCAUUUUUAGUGCAGAAAGAGGAUUCCAUUCCAUUAACAAAGAGCAGGUUCUGGUUGGCUGUGCUAUUCCUUUAACGUUGAACCACAAGGCAUGUCCCAAGAUGCUUCACUCAGGUGUAAGAAGCACUGGUACCCAGCCUUGAAGGUUUCGGCUCUCACCUGGAUCACAGGCAGCCUCUUUUGGGACCUCCUUUGUUCUCUUGCGUCAGUGAUCUCAAGGGAUCUGCAUCUUCUUUUGCUGUAGAUAAUUGCCUCAAGUACUUUUGUGAGUUUUUUUCUUUCUUCUUUAAAUAUCACUAGUUGUAAGAGCCCUUAAUGAGCACGUUAUUUUAAUGGGGCUGGCCACAACUUCAUGCUGUUUUACUUUAGCUUCUCUUAUGGCAGGUAAAUCACAAUGGCGGAAGAUGGCCAAAUGUUCCUUGGUUUCCCUGCCCCUACAGGUUUCCACUCCACACGCUGAUAGUUUUCCAGCCAGUUAGCAGCCCUCUGCCUGGAAGCUGCCCUUUGGAAGCUGGACCUGGCCCCCUCAUCUCGCGCAGCAGCCAGCGCCCAGCUUCAGUCCCCACACAGGCAGCCACGAUGGCCCAUAUGGCAAGUCUCCCUGUUUCCAUGGACUGGGCCCUUCUGACACGUCCUGGGGAGCCUGCUCCCGCAGCGUGCAAGGUUUUCUCCAGCCUUCUCUCCUUGUACGCAUCCCACUCUUAUCCCGAGUCAGUUCUUCCCCAUUCCUCUGGUAGCCAUUUGGUGCUCAAUAUUUGCACACACAGCCAGCAAGGGACCUCUGUCCUCGCUGCAUCCAUCUAGCACAAGGCUCUCUUACUGGGCAAGGGGAGAAAUCCUGUAUCAGGUUACACCAGAUCCACACAAUGGUGCUAACCCAGGCACCAUCCCAGGAGAACCAGUGUUCUCCACUUCUCCCAACACUUAGAAAAGCUGAGCUGUUUGAUGCUUCACGUUGGGAAUGUGUCUUUUUUUUUUUUUUUUUUUUUUUUUUGAGACGGAGUCUCGUUCUGUCGCGCAGGCUGGAGUGUAGUGGUGUGAUCUCAGCUCACUGCAAGCUCCGCCUCCUGGGUUCACACCAUUCUCCUGCC
rnacentral:lncRNA from 10 species